ACUACCACAGGGGGCACGACAUGCUCGACACCCGCCUGGGCUGCCGCCUGCUGACGCUCCAGGGCCUCCUGGAGCCGCUGAAUCUGCUCCCCUUGGCGUUGAACAGAUUCCGCUUGUUGCCGCACUACGCCAAUAAGCGCGGCCAUCUGCUCCCUAAGCUCUCCGUCGCCACUCGCUCCGGAUCGCUCGGGCUCCGCAUUCGGCUCCUCCGGCAUCGACCUUGUCUGUGGUCGUCCACGAGGUGCCAUUGCUUCCUGAAAAGAAGCAACUCGCAUUAGCUACAUGACCAACAUUACUUGACCAUACCCAAUCCGGCGAAAGCAACUUAUACAUUCGUUCUUGCCCCAAGCAUUAUGUCGUCGGCCGCCCAACACAACACUAGAAGUAGAUAAUAAAUGAAAAUUAAACUUAGCCUCUAAUCAUAUUAGAGACGUCCCAACUUAACCCAAUCACAUGCUUUCGCUAACUUUAAUUCCACGUCUCUCACGUUUCCUAGAUCCUUAAGGUCUUCCAAUCCUAAGGGUCUCUAGGUCUAUUCCUAUUCUUUCACUCUUGGCUCUGAUACCACAAUAUCUGUCACGCCCCGCGACCGAUACCAAUUUGGGCCGGCCCGAGCACGUCAAACAGACGCCGAACGGACAGAGUUUUCCCUGUCCGCCCAAGGCUCAUCACAUGUACAUUUUCAAAAAUGAAGUGCACUAGCGAAAAUAUACACAAACGGCUUACACGAGGGUAAGCAAUAGCCAUGAGUGAAAAAAAGGGAACUAAACAUCUACACAAGUAUUAUGAUUCAACUUUUGAUCACAUACAUGCAUCCACUUCAUCCAAGUUGUACAUUCAUGAUUCUUUACAUUGCUUGCAUCAUUUCUUUUACAUCACAUUGGCUUAAAAUAAACAUUACAUUCUUUUCUUUCUUCGCUUUAUACAUUAACAUCUUAAAUCAUCAAAUACAAAAGAUGAUAAAAGGGUAAACUAUUAACAAAAUGUAAUAACCCAACUCUGGUGGCCUCUGACUAUGGUACGAUACCUUUACCCCGGUCGCUCGCCGGCUCGCUCGGUCCCGGCUCUGUGGAAUAGUCGGGUGAGAACUACAACAAAGUUCCCAGUGGGGUCGGCCCGAACAUCACCGACUUUCCCACUAGGACUAACUCAGGCAUAAUAGAAAGGAUAAGCUGAAUAUAGUAACCAAUCUAUAACAUGAUGCUAAUAUGCCUGAACAAUAAAGCAAGAAGUAUGCUCAACAUAAAACUCAUGCAGAUUAUGCAAGUUCUUUGUUCUUUAUUCUUUGUUCUUUAAUCUCACGGCUAACUCGGGGGUUUCGUCACAUUAACUUGCUUCACAUUAAGUCCUUCAUCGCGGGCCCUCAGCUUCCUCCCACUAAAACCGUCCUCGGGUUUACUCCAACCCAUGAUGCAAAAACUCCGGAGCGCAUCGCCCGAGGGGGAGCAACCGCCCUCGAGCACGAAACUCAUAGCAAGUAUGAUCGAAUCCUUAGCUCUAAGGAUUAUAAGUUCAAUCAUGUCAUUACACUAACUCUAGUAUUCUUUUCAUCACUUUAUGUUGCUACUCUAGCAAUCAUGGUUCUUUGCAUUCCUUUACUUUUGGCUAUCUCUAGCAAUCAUGUUCUUUACUCUUUGCAUGUUCUUUAUGCCCCACUUUACAUUAACUUCAGUCAUUGUUAUUACUCUUUACAUCAUAUUGAUUCUUUGCCUCAUACUAACUCUAGUGUCAUUUUACUUUACAUUAGUGAAUGCCACUCGAUCUAUGCCUCAUUGUGUCACUCUGUUCUUUUGCCUCACUUUGGUGCUCACAUUUUAUCUCAUGCAUACUUAGGGUUAAACAUUCAUAGGAGUUCUCAAGCAUCUCAUUAGGCAAAUUUUACUCACAAUAUGCAACAUCACAUUACCCUCAUCACAUUUACCCUACAAUGCAUGCAACAAUGUAUAUAAUAUAUGCUCAAUUGAAUGACACAUUAGGUAUAGAAGGAAAUUCAACGAGUUUGGAUAGCACCACCCACCUCGUAGGUUCUCAAAGGUGCUCCGACGAUUUUCUUGGGAUUUUUAGACUCCUCGUUCUUCACCUGCGGCAAAACGAAGCCAUUUUGCCCAUAACUUUUUAUAGACCUUUCGUAACGUUAAUCCGAGCGCACCAACGCGUCGAAAACACCUCCAAUUAGGUUUCUAGAUGGUCAAUUGCACUUUAGAACCUUCGCAAGCAAAAGCCCCAAUUUGGGUGCCCUAGCUCAAUAGCGUAUAUCAAACCUAGGGUUUGAUCUCAUUGGAAAGCAAAAGAAGCUUCAUUCUACUCUAGGAAGUCCAUUAAAACCAUCCUUAAACAAAUCAAAACCCUAUUUAGGGUUCCACCAUGAGAGGAGGUUGAAGCUCAUCUCUAUGCUUCACUAUACACUCUGUUUCCAUGGUUUGAUCUCUAAAGGAAGCAAGAAAAAGCUUCAAAUGCUCAAAGGGUUCUAUCAAAACCAUUUCUAGGGUUUUAUCAUGAGAAGGACCAAAGCUUACCUCAAAGCUUUUCUUUCAAACACUAGAGAGGAAGAAGAUGGAGAUGCCUCACUCCUUGGUCUUCUUCUACUCCCACUCAUUCUCCUUUUUUCUUCUUUUCCCUUUCCUUCCCACUCUUCUUCCUUUCUUUCUUAUGUUCUAGAAAGAGAGGGAGAGAGAUGAGUUUGGGUGUGAGGGAAUGAGAGGGAGAGGCUCUCUAAGCAGUAAACAUGACCCAUAUGAGGCAUUUUUACAGUUAGACCCCUCAACUUUUAUCUUUUUGAACUACCCAAACUGGGCAGUUUCGCAGCGAGGGACCGGUCUCCCCGACUAGGGACCGGUCCCCGAGAGCUCUCCCUGCGGACAGCAGCGCGCACGCGCGACGCAACCGGUCUCUCACUGGGGGACCGGUCUCUCCCCGCAGGGACCGGUUCCCGAGAGCUGGUUUUCUGGGACUUAGCCGAUUUUCGGCCUUUCUCAUUUCUCACGCGUUCGGGGACCGAUCUCUCCCACCAGGGAUCGGUCCCCGUGAGCUCAAAAACUAUAAUUUGUAGAUUUUUGAUUCUUUAGCUCUCGAAAACCUUCCAUAACGCACUUUUGAUCAUUUUAACACCUUCGGACUUUCCGAAGUGUACCAUCCUCGCACCUUGGUCAAUUUGACUAAAGUUCGAUACUUAUUUUCUGAAUUCUCGGUAUAUUACAUUAGACAUAAAGGAAAUUUUGAGGUCUUCGGAAUAUACCACCCACCUUUGAUAGUUGUAGGGAUGCUACGGUUUAAUUCUUGAAAUUUUUGGGCGCCUACUCGCUCGCUUGCGGCAACACGAAGCCAAAUUAGGCUUUUUAUAUAAUAUCUUUAUCUAAACUUUUUCGUUUCGUCGAAUCGAGUUUUCUAUUACGUCGGGAAACCUCUAAUUAGGUUUCUAUAAGGUCAAUUUGCCUUAGAAACACCCUAGGGCAAAAGCCCCAAAUUUGGUGCCCUAAUGUUGCCAUUUGCUCCAACCUAGGUUUUGUUUUCUAGAACAAGCAAAAGAAAGCUUGUCCAACAUCUAGAAGCUUAUCUAGAACCAUCUAAAUCAUUUCUAGGGCAUAUAAAGCAAACCCUAGGAAUCUACCAUUAGAGCACACGGAGGAAACUAGGGUUUCCAUGUGUUCUAAGUUCUUACUAGGUUCCUAUACAUGAGAGAAGAUCAAAACCUAGUUUUCUAGGACAUAAAACCAAACCCUAGAACUAUUCUUGCACAAUGACUCACCUUAGCCCCAAGCUCUCCUAUGUCCACCUUGUAGGAGAGUUUCAAAGCCUUCUAACCCACCAAAAAUCUCCUCCAAAGCCUUCUACUCCACCUUCUCCUUGCUCUUUAGAGAGGUUUCUAGAGAGAGAGAGAGGAAAAUGAGAGCGAGUGGGUGUAUUGGCUGUGAAAGAGAGAGGGGAGAGUGUGUUGGUGUUUUAUUAUGUUGUAACAAUUGCAAUAAAACCCUCCCUUUUCUCUAAUUUGCGGCAGACUUAAUCUUGCUGUCGGGUCCAUUGUGUACCAGUACAGGUUGGGGUGUCACCGGUAACAUGAUUGCGCAGAGGCCAACCCGAGCGCUACUGUUCGGGUUUUGCCAAAGUGGACCGGUACACACCAGGGCUGUCACCGGUAACACGAUCAUUUUUCUCCAACCCGAGAGCAACUUCCUCUCGGGCAGCACUGUUGUACUAGUACAACAUCGAUGUUGUACCGGUACACUUUGCCCAGACUGCAGUUUUUGCAUCUUUUCGACUUCUCUUCGCGUCGAGCAAUGCUAAAACCUUUCUAACCCUUUUGGAAUUCAUUCUUAACCCUUCCAACAUUGUUGGAAUGCUAAGUAAAACUUGUCCAACUAUUUCUUUCGCACACUUUAGCCAAUUUGGCCAAAGUUCGAGUUUCUUUACUGAGUUUCGGUACGUUACAAUACGUCAAAUUAUUCAGAUGUGUAAGUUGAUAGAAGAUGCAUGUAUAUAUGGUCAUAUAUAUAUAUAUGGUCAUGUAUAUAUGAUCAAAAGCUUACAAAAUUGACAAUUUUUAACGGCCGGUAUGGAAUAUUUUCUAGUUUAAUGGUGCAAAAGAAUCCGAAUAGGUUGAAUUUUUGACAGAAAAUUCUAUUCACUACCUAGAUAAAGAUCAAGAACUCCGAUCUUAAAUUGAAGGAUCCGAUCAUCCAUUUUUAAGACAUUGUUCUAUUUUGACCGUUCAUUUUAUGCCUGCUUGAUGGACUUUAUUAUGAUUUUGAAAAAUUACGAAAUUUAUUUUCUAGAAGUUUCAAAUACUCUAGAUCAUAUUUAACGAAGUGGAUCGUCGAUCGGAAGCUCCAUCAUCGAAAACAACUUAUGUGUACGAAGGGCCCAAUACUUAUAAUAGUAUAGUAGCCCUACUCUCUCUCUCUCUCUCUCUAUAUAUAUAUAUAUAUAUGAAAAUAGUCAAUGAAUUGUAUGGACUUUUUGGGUUCCAUAAGACGUGAAAAUCGAGAAGGCCCUGGUCAACAUAAAUUCUCCAAAGAUAAUUUAGGAUUGUCAUAUCUUGAGCCCUGCAAGUUGGACUUGCUCGAGCACAUACAAUAGAUAUCCACCGAAUGGGCAAGACUUUUCCUUACCUACAUGAAGUGGAAAUAUAAAGCAACUUGCACAACACAUACAUGAUAUGAGUAUAUAAAAUAUCAAAGUAUUUAGCUACUAAAUUAAAACCAUUACAAUUUAUGUAAUAUACGGCAUCCUGGAGUUGCGAUGUCAAUUUUGAUCUAUUGGAUCAAAGUGUAGAUUGAGCUAGUUGGACAUCAUCCCCGAGUGACUUUGGACGCGUGAGAAUGAAUUCCGAUGAUAAAUAAGUGUUUCGGCGCAAAUUGGGCGCGAAACGAAAUGUAAAUAAAAUUUUCGGAAUUCUGACGCUAACUUUGAUUAAAAGAAUUAAAGCGAGGCUCGGAGAUAAUUUAUGGAGUACCCAAGUUAGUCUGGAAUGACUCGUGCCGAAAUCGGAGCGAAAACAGAAGAACUGGAAUUUUCUGUAAAGAACGGGACUGAGAAAUUAGCAGAAAAUGCACAGUGUCAGAAAAUUAUGAAAAUUGGCGGAGAUGUCAGGAACAUUGGUAUGAGGCCAAAUUUCAAGUUUCACAUUAUUCUGACACCUGUAGAGAGAGAAAUAGCAUCCGAAAGUUAUCUGAUGAAGAUUACAGUUCGGGACAGUUCGCAGUGACCAAACGGGGUCGAAACUGAAAUGUUAAAAUUUCAGUGGACUUGUUAAGUAAAAACGAACAUGUCUGUCAAAUUUGAGCUCAAUCGAACUUUCGGAAGGGCUUACGAAAGGUAUUUAAUCCGCGCGGCUAAACGGAUAAGUCGAGGGGCAUUAUGGUAAUUAACCUAUGCCUUAGUGGAUUUCCACUAAACCUGCCAGGCAGCCCCCCUCCAUCCUUAUCCCCUCUCCUUGCUGCCAUACGUAGAGAGAGAGAAGGAGAAAAGAAGAGAAAAGAAAAGAAGAGAAAGGAGAAGAAAAGAGAAGAAGAAGAAGAAAUAGAAGAAGAAGAAAAGAGGUAGGUUUUACCUCUCUCCCUCUCAUCCCUCUCUCUCUGUAGUAACAGCAGCAGCAGCAGCCCUUGCUGCUGCUGCGAGCAGGAACAGCAGCAGCAAGCUGCUGCUGAAGCAGCAGCAGUAGCAUCAGCAGCUGCUGCUGGAGCAGCGAGCAGCAGCAGCUGCUGGAUCAGCAGCAGCAGCUGCUGGAUCAGCAGCAGCAGCAGCAAGCUGCUGCAGCAGCAGCUGCUCAGCCAGCUGCUGAGCAGCAGCAGCAGCAGCAGCUGCAGCAGCCAUCAGCAGCAGCAGCAGCACAGCAGCAGCAGCCUCAGCAGCAGCUACCAGCAGCAGCUGCAGCUUAGCAGCAGCAGCAGCAUGCGCAGCAACAGCAGGAAAGAAAAGAAAGAAAAGAAAGAAAGAAAGGAAGAAAAGAAAGAAAGGAAGAAAAGAAAAGAAAGAAAAGAAGAAAAGAAAGAAAGGAAGAAAAGAAAGAAAGCCAGAGAGAAAAGAAAGAAUUAAGAAAGAGAGAGAUCGAAAAUAAGUUAGGAUUUCGAUAAAAACGGGGUUUUUAUAGAAAUUGACCCCGGCAAUGCACUUUUGCAAAGUAAGAGUCCUAAUGCGAAAUUGACCGCGUGUAAACCAAAUUGAGGGUAAAAGAAACGCGUUGGCGAAGUCGGUUCGGCAAUCCGACGAACCUACGCAAAGAUAUCGCCAAAAGAAGUUUUUCGGCUAUAGUUGCCGUUUUAUAUAGCAUUGAAAUGCUAAUUUGUAAAAUAUGAGUAUUGACUCUAGUUUAACCUUUUCUAAUCCUUUAUAAGUAAAAAGUAAACAUGCCCAAGAGUCUAAAUUGACUUUUCGACAGGUCGACGACGCGCUAAUUACGGUAGCGGCCGUUCUAGUCCUAUUUGCACGGAGUCGCGAGAGAUAGUCGUCGACGCUUUCUGAAACGUGGAUUCUAGUUGAUUGACACCACUACAGGUGGGUGGUGCUAUCCGAAGUCAUCGAAUCCCUCUUUAUGUCUAUGCUAUUCUAUUGAGCAUAUCUAUUUAUGUGAAUUGUAUCAUAUUCAUGCAUUAUAGGGAAAAGUGUUAUUGUGCAAUUGAAUUUAUGUUAAUGUAAAGAACAUGUGGGCCAUAGAAUAUGAACAUAGAACCCUAUAAAUGUGUGAAUUGUACUGUGGACUAUGAUAAUAGUAAAUUCGGUGACAUUCUAACUAGAGAUUUAGUUAGCAUCAAAAAAAUGGAAUUGUGAAACUAGCAUAAAGAACUAGUCAGAGUUACUUGUGGCAUUGUCAGUUGUUGUGAAUCCUCUGAAGGAGGAUCAGAUCUUACUCACAUAGUCUGUUUCUUAGCUUGGUGGUGGUCGCUCCCCCCAGGCAGUGAGCUCCGGAGUAGUCACUUGUUGGGCUAACGUACUUGCCCCAGGACUAACGUACUUGUCCGACAGACGGUCCCAUCGGGAGGCAGCUUAGGGCCCGUGAGGGAUUUCGUUGGUGAGUUAUUGUUAACCAAAGGGUUAACCACUGAAUUGGGUAAAUUUAUGGGCUAACGUACUUGCCCCAGGACUAACGUACUUGUCCAGCUGUUAACCAGAGGGUUAACCAAAAGAUUGGGUAAAGUUAAUGAAAAGCAUGCAUGCAUAUUUACAGUUUUCAUAUCUGUUACUUCUUUCAGCUUUGUACAGGCAUUGUAGUAGUUACAUGUUAUAGUUGGUUACUAUCUGCUUACUUUUCUUGCCUACAUAUGCCUGAGUAGACCUAGUGGGUGAGUCGGCGAGGUCGGCAGCCGAACCCACUGGGAACUUUCUUGUAGUUCUCACACCACUAAC
rnacentral:lncRNA from 1 species